rnacentral:rRNA from 1 species
AGGACGAACGCUGGCGGCGUGCUUCAUACAUGCAAGUCGAACGAGAAGCAGUCUUCGGACUGUGGAAAGUGGCGGACGGGUGAGUAAAAUGUAGAGAAUCUGCCCUAGAGUGGGGGAUAGCAGUUGGAAACGACUAUUAAUACCCCAUAUGAGCGUACUUGAGAUAGUAUUCUUGAAAACUCCGGUGCUCUAGGAUGAGUCUGCAUCUGAUUAGCUAGUAGGCGGUGUAAUGGACCACCCAGGCGACGAUCAGUAGCUGGUUUGAGAGGAUGAUCAGCCACAAUGGGACUGAGACACGGCCCAUACUCCUACGGGAGGCAGCAGUAGGGAAUUUUGCGCAAUGGGGGAAACCCUGAACCGCAGCAACGCCGCGUGAAUGAAGAAGCCCUUCGGGGUGUAAAGUUCUGUCAGUGGGGACGAAACUUGACGGUACCCACAGAGGAAGCAUCGGCUAACUCCGUGCCAGCCGCCGC